UUGGGGCCAGCCCAGUGGCGCAGCGGUUAAGUGCACACGUUCCACUUUGAAGGCCGGGGCUUCCCCGGUUCGGAUCCCGGGUGUGGACCUAUGCACCACUUGUCAAGCCAUGCUGUGGUAGGCGUCCCACAUAUAAAGUAGAGGAAGAUGGGUACAGAUGUUAGCUCAGGGCCGGUCUUCCUCAGCAAAAAGAGGAGAAUUGCUGGCAGAUGUUAGCUCAGGGCUAAUCUUCCUCAAAAAAAAAAAAGGCAAUUUCAUAACAUAUUUAUUCAAGUUGCAAAAGUGUUCUGGUACGCUAAAAAUCUCUUUUCUUAAACCCCUUUUCACUCAUGGAACUCUUACUUUCCUGUAUUUUAAUCACAGUUCCCAAAGAUUUUUCUGCUAGAAGCUAAAAUGGAUUUUUCCCUGAAAUAUCAUCAUAAAAUCCUAUGAAAUAUUUCAGUGAUAUGAGUCAUUCACUUAUUCAUAUGGGUAGACAUUUAGAUAAUAGAAGUAGCUAACAGAAAUCUGUGAGAAAUACAUUAAUUCCUGUGGAGGAGGGAGGAAGAAGUCCUACUGAUGUAUUUUAGGUGUAGUUAAAUUCAAUGUUCCCUGCCAUUUUAAAUUAUCAAAAUUAUUCUGUUUUGCUCCUUUCUCUCCAAGAGGCUACAUAAAAUUACUUAGACACAGAAAAUCAUGAAUCAUUUUUUUGCUGUUAACGUCUUCUGCAUUCUGUUUCACGAGCAUAGCGAUCAGUGGUCAAGAAUGUCCUUAUUCUUAUCAACCUUCUACUUACUACCCAAGUAAGACUUACCACCGCACAACAGAAUGUUUAGUAGCAGUUUUGUUAAAGUCUAACAUCUUUGCUGUAUUACUGAAACUGACAAGAAACAGAUUGUUAUAAAAAAAAGUUGGCGUCUCUGGAAAUCCUACGUGCCAUAGGUCAGUUGAUAUUGAGCAUACAGGUUCUGACGGCAUUCAUACGUAAUCAGAAAACUGGUACAUUUCAAACUCUUAGCAAUUCCUGCUAUUAAACAAAGGUCAGUAUAGUUUUCAGUAAUAAAAACCUAGUUCAUAUAUUUUAAGUUUUGAAGUUUUAUAAAAUCUUUAACAUACUUUAAAACAAAAGUACCUAAUUUGAGAAGUCCAAUUUUUGUGAUGGGUGGUCUGUGUGCUGUGAAGAAACUAUUAUGUUUUAUGCUUUAGCUCUGAAGUUCACUAAUUUUUAUUCUUCAAAAACAUGUGCUUUUCAAGCUAAAUUGUCUACCCCAUUGCUAUACCCAUACACAGAGAGACAUUAUCGUGAAUAACUCCGGGUUUGUAUUGUCUACUCUCAUGGUUUAAUGGGAAAAAUCUUUUCUCUUAUCGUUCGUGAGGAAGGCAGCUGUUUUCUUGUCUCCCACAGGAAACUAUUAUAGAUUACUGAGUAUUUAAAUUUAAUCCCUCCAGGUUGUAUCUUGGGUAUAUGGUAUUCCUCUCUUUAUAAGUGUAAUUUCUUCUUGAAAAAUGCUUUUUAUUGGGUAUAGCCUAGUAUAAGGAGAUUAUUGUUGAUUUUGUUGAAUAUGCUAACAAUAUUGUGGUUAUGUAGCAAAAUGUUCUUAUCUUUUAGAGAUAUAUACUAAAGUAUUUAGGAGUUAAAUGUCAUCAUUACUGUAAUUUUCUUUAAAAUUCUUUAGCAUAAGAGUAAUAUGAGAAGAUAAGGUGAAAUAGAAGCUGUUACAUCUAAUUAUAGGUAUUUGUGUAUUCAUCAUGCCAUUCUCUAUAUUGUAUGUUUGCAAUUUCUAUAAUGAAGAGAAAAAAUUAUGACUUUCAAUAAAAAUGAAAAAAAUGUACGAGAUUUGUGGGCUAUAUAGCUGCUUUCUGCAAAUGAGAGGUUUUUUGUUUUAUGAACUAAUUUUGAUGAAUGUGUAUUCUUUCCAAUAAUUUUUAACUUCUUUCUUAAAAUGUUUAUUCAUACAGCUGUAAAGCAUGGAAUGCUCUCUUGCACAGUAAGGCUUUUUUUUUCCCAGGUAGUUUGAUAAUUUUUAAUCAUUAAAUACAUAUCCCUAAAACUGAGACCAAAGUUUGUAUCGUUAAAACUGAAACUGUUUCAGAUGAUAACACUUGCCUAAAAAUAUAAAGCUUAGAUUCCAGCCAUUUGUCUUUCAAUCACAUACAGAAAGUUUGUUUCAAAGACUUAAUACGUUCAAAUAUAUGCACUUGGUAUGAAAAUUUCCCGAUAGUCUUAAAUCUGAUUAAAACUCAGAAAUGUGUACAAAUACUGUGAAAAUACUGUUAGUGGUGUUGAGUCGAUUCCGACUCCUGGAGACCUGUGGACAGCAGAGCAGAACCCUGCCCCGUCUUUUUGUGCCAUCCUCUCUCCUUCUGGCCCUAUAUCAGCCAGUACUCUGCUGCUAGGCAAAGGGUUUUCAUGGCCAGUUUUUUCAGAAGUGAGUGGCCGGGUCCUUCUUCCUAGUGUGUCUGGAAGCUCCGCUGAAACCUGUCCACCAUGGGUGACCGUGUCUUAGUCUGGAAGCUCCGCUGAAACCUGUCCACCAUGAGUGAUGCUUUGGUCACCCUGACAUACCUGUGGCAGAGCUUUCAGCAUCACAGCAACAUGCAGCCACCACAGUAUGACAGCCAAGAUAGGUGGUGUGGUUCCCUAACUGGGAUAUGAACCUGAGCCGAGGCGAGCUCUGAAUGUUAACCACUAGACCAUCAGGGCUGGCUAUG
ensembl:lncRNA